AUCAUGUACCUCCAAUUUUAUUGUCAGCCACCAGGGUCUCUGGAGUCCUUCUGCCACAUUUAUUGAUGUCUUGGGAACAAGUGCCUGUUCCUAACCUAUCCCACUAUGUCGUGUGUCAAACAAUAGCCAAAGUAUGGAAAGAGCCCAAAUGUCCAUCGAUGGAUGAAUGGAUAAAGAAGAUAUGGUCACCACCCACAGGCUGGCCCCACCAUUGACGCUUUACUCUGGAGUUGAGGGAUGUAACCUCUCCAAGUGAAUCACCACAAACCAAAAAACCAAAAACAGAAGCAGAAGAAAUACGUCCUAACUCAUUCUGCAAAGUCAGCAUUACCAUAAUACUAAAACUGGACAAAGAUAUUAUAAGAAAGAAAAAUGAGAGACCAAAAUCUGUCCUGAACAGAGAUGCAGACUCUCAGUGAGAUAUCAGCAAAUCAAAAUCAACGUGUAAAAAGAAGUAUAAAUCACAACUGAGUGAGACUGACACCAGGUGUGCAGGGCUAGAUCAACAUUCUGAAAUGAAGGCCUGUCCCAUGACAUCAACAGGCUGAAAUAGAAAAAUCAUAUGACCAUUUUAGCCAAUGCAGAAAAAACAUUUUACAAAAUUCAAUACUCACGAUUGAAAAAAAAGAAAUCCCAGAAAAUUAGCAGUAGAGGAGCAUCUUCUCCAGUUGACAGAAAACAACUAUGAAACACCUACAGUUAAUAUUUUCCUUAAUGGUAAGAAGCUAGAGGCUUUCCCCCGAAGAUUGGAAACAUCAUACUGUAAUUCCCAUAGAAUUUAAUUACACAAGAAAAAGAAAUAAAUUUUCUUUUAUUUU